rnacentral:lncRNA from 7 species
GUCAUGUGGGGUUAUUGGGGUCAGUGGGGUAAAUGUGUUGUUGGGGUCAUAUGGGGUCAUUGGGUACAUGUGGGAUCAUUUAGAUCAUUGGGGACAGGGGGGUUAUGGGAUUCAUGUGAGGUCACUGGGGUCACUGGGUCAAAGGCGUCAGUGGGGUCAGUGGGGUCAAUGGGGUUUUUGCAGGCCAGAAGGGUUUGGGCUUCCAAGCAAUCACCAAGCUUUUGGAUGAGCCAGCCCUCUGCUUUUUGUGAGGACAGACCCCAACGAGCCCACAUAACCCGAAUAACCUCCUUGACCCCCACAGACAAGUCCUCCUUGGAAAGCCAUCUCGGCAAGGGCAGAAUAGCGCUGUUCUUGGGCCGCAGCACUCCAUGGCCAGGCGCUGCUCAGACGCUGGGGCUGCAUUUCCUCCUGGGCACCCACACAUGCUGCGAUUCCCCUGCAGGUUCCUGCCGGGUUUGUGGCUUCCUGCUGGGGAACUCCUCAUCUUCUUCUGCAACUGCCCCCCAGCGUCACUACUGCCUCCUCUGGUGCUGUACUGGCAGAUGCCUCAGCGUUCAUGAGCCUGGACUUCCUGCCUCCCAUCAGCAGCUGCUCCUUCAUUCAUACUGCAAUACCGUCCACUUCCAGCACCAGCAGAGCUGCAAGGCAGAGAUGGGAAACGUGGGAUGAAUGCAAACGCAGAAGCCCAAGGCUGUCCCACCACCACGUAUUGCAGCCUUGCAGCCCUGCUUUGCAAAGUCUCCACUCUGCUCCCAUCUCAGCGAUGGGCCGUGCCGGCCUCUUAUUGGUCACCGGGAGCUCCGUCCCACUCCCGCUUGCUUCUCAUUGGUCAGCGGCAUCUCCAUCCGCCUCCGUUGGUUUCUCAUUGGUCAACAGCAGCUCCAUUUCACUCCCGUCCAGCCUGUCAUUGGUCAGCGGCAGCUCUGACCCAUGCCAGCCUCUGAUUGGUCAGCAGCAGCUCUGACCCACCCCUGGUGGACUCUCAUUGGUGAUUGUCAGCUCCAUCCCGCCCCUGCUGGCUCUGAUUGGUCAGCAGCAGCUCUGACCCGCCCCUGCUGGCCUCUCAUUGGUCAACGGCAUUUCUGGCCCUCCCCUUGUCUCUGAUUGGUCAGCAGAAGCGCCGCCGGCUCCAAUUGGCUGAGGGGCAGAGCGCGCCGUUGGCAACCGGCUCGGAAUCGCCCAGCUGUCCCCUCAGACGGCAGCCCGUGGCCGUCCCCUUCGCCGUGGGAUGCGGGGAUUUGGGGCGGCUGAAGGAGUCGGGGCCCCCACCACCGCAGCGCUGCUGCCCUCACAGGGGCCGGGCCCCCCCGAGCCUCCAGUGCUUGUUGAGGUGCCUCCCGGGGCUGAGGUGGUCUGUGGGUGUAGGGGCAGUGGGGGAGAUGUCGUGGCAGUGUAAGAGCUGAGGGGCUUUGGGGGCUCUUGGGGGAUGUGGGAGGAUAUGGGUCUGUAAUGUGCUGUGUGGGGAUCUCGAGGGAUGAGGGGAUAUUGGUGUGUUUUGGGAAUAGAGGGGGAUGGAGGGAUGUGGGGCCCACAGGGGGUGCUAUAGAGGGAUGUAGGGCUGUGCGUGGGUUGUAGGAGGAGAUGGGGCUGUAGGGGGCUGUGUUGGGAAUCCAGGGAGGGUGUGAGGGGCCAUGGGGAGGCCAGAGGGAGAAAUGGGAGUGUAUGGGGUAUAGGGUAGGGCUUUGGGGCGACAGGGGGCUGUAGUGGGUUACAGGGGUGGAUAUUGGGGGAUAUGGGGCUGUAGUGGUCUGUGGGGGCUAUCGGGAGGGUUGUGGGGCUAUCUGGGGCUUCAGUGGGGGCCGUAGGGGGAUAUAGGGCUUUGCGGGGGUUGUUGGAAAAUAUGAGGCUAGGGUGGCUGUAUGGGUGUGUGGGGCUUUAAGGAGCUUAAUUGUGUCUCUAGGGGGGCUAUGGGGCUCUGGAAAGCUGUGGGGGACUGUAGAAGGGGUAUUGGGGUAUAUGGGAAAAGAGGGGGAUGCGGUUGGAAUCUAGGGAUCUGUGGGCAGCUAUUGGGGGAUAUGGGGCUCUAGGGUGCUGCAGAGUCUUUAGGGAGUGUUUUAGGGCUAUAUGGGGGAUAUAGGGGGAUUUGGUUCUCUAGGGGGCUGUGGGGGUAUAGGGGUGAUAUGGGUCUGUAGGGGGCUUUGGGAGGAGCUCCACGGUUCUAUGAGGGGUCUGUAAGGGCUAUAGGUGUGUUCGAGGGGGAUAUGUGGCUUUAGGGGUUUGUGGCAACAUGUGGGAGGGUUGUGGGUGCUAGGGGUUGGGGGGGGCUCUAGGGCAGGAUGUUGUGCUGUAGGAGAUUGUGGGGGCCUGAGGGAGGAUAUAGGGUGUCUGUGGGGAUAUAGGGGAGAUAUGGAGUCUAGAAGGGUUCUAGGGGAUAUGAGGCUGGAUAUGGGAGAGUGUGGGGGGCUCUGGAGGGAGUCUAGGGCCAGUGUGGGUCUGUGGGGAGCUAUAAGGGGAGAUUGGGCUUUAGGGGCUGGGGGACUGUAGGGAGGGUCUUAGGGCUGUAGAGGGGACAUGGGGUGCUAUGUGGCUGUAGGGAGCAGGGGAAUAUUAUGACGCUGUAGGGGGCUAUUGGGAAAGCUAUAUGGUUCUAUGGGGAGGCUAUAGGAGCUUUAUAGGUGGUUAUGGGGCUUUAGGGAGCUGUGGGUGGUCUGUAGGAGGGUUCUAGUAGGGUAGGAGGCUAUAGGGGGCUGUGGAGGGGAUAUAGGGAGAUAUGGGGCAAUAGUGGGUUUUUAGGGGGUUGUGGCGGGCUGUUAGAGUGUAUAGGAUGAUAGGGGCCAGGGGGGGUCUGUAGAGAGGGAUGUUAUGCUGGAGAAGGUAUGGGAGGCUAAAAUGGGCCUUUGGGGGUUACAGAGGGGCUGUGGUGGGCUAUUUGGGGAUAUAGGGAGAUAUAAGGCUAUAGGGGGUGUUUGGAGGAUGUGGUCCUCUAAGGGGCUGUGUGGGUCCAUAGGAUGAUCUGGAGCUAUAGGGUGAUCUCUAAAGGGAUGUGGGGCUAGAAGGCUCUCCCUUCCUUCUUUCCCCCCUUUCCACAGCAGGGAGGGUGAAAUGCUAGUCAUGAAAUUGAAACUGGAACUGAAGUUGUCUUGCAAUAGAAUAUGAUGCUUUUGUGGUCUUCCAUCUGAAACGUGUUUUCUCCUUGGGUUUAGGUAAUCUGUUUAUGUUUAAUGAUUAUGCUUAAUAAUCUAAUCAUGUUUCAUAAUGUCUCUGGAGAAGGUUUCAGUCUGCAGUCUGCUGAUCCGAAAGAAAGAAGGCGGCUUUUGGAGGACUUAAUCACUGUGAGUCGAGCUGCUGCUGAACCUCCCCUUCCAACAUCCAGCAGGUGAGGACGCUGUGCAUCUCAGCCCUCCGUCCCUGCACGGUAGCAGCGAUUCUAAUCAAACCUCUGAACUCCCAGGUUUGUUCUGCAGGCCCCGAUGAUGGCACAGGCAUGAAAGAGCCCAGAGCUCGUCGCUGGGGAGAGGCUGCGUAUGGCGUUGUGAAGGGAGAGAUGGAGGAGGGGUUUGAGCAGCGCUGUGCAGGAAUGAACGGCUGGUAAGAGAAGAGGUGUGUGUGCUGAGAGCAAGGGCUGUACGGCUCCUCUCUGUGUUCUCACAGGAAGUGCACGGCAGAGCUCCUUGCUCUCUGUUCUUUCUUGCAAGGCUGCGGCGCUUCAAAGUGCGCUGUGGGUGGGCAGCGCGAUGACAGCCCAAGGGUGGCACCAGGAGAUGCAGCGCAGCCCUCUGCAGCAGCAGGGUGCAUUGAUUGGUCUUGCUCUUUCGUGAAGGAGAAGGUAUGUUUAGCUGCAAAAGUCGGUGGCUCCAUAGCAUGUGCUGAAGGCUUUGGGGCCCUUCCUGUGUUCCUCACGUCCUAAGGCAGUGAAGGACUUCCCUUGCUCUGUAGGAAUGGUUCCUGUGCAAGGGCAUGGUCGUCUGCCUGUAGCAGAUACUGAAGGUUGUGGUUUUGUGACUGCAGUGAUGGAGUUGGCUUUAGAAUGGCAAUUGCACCCCGCUCACUUGCAGCUCUUUCUGACACAGGCAGGAGUCGGGCAGUGGUACUGCAGCUCCUCUGGCAGCUUUGCAGCUCAGUUGGGAAGCAGAAGAUGUGGAUGUGAAAGAAGAAGUCCGUUGCUGGGACGUUCCCCUGUUCUUCCCCCAGCUGUCCCCUUGCCUCAGCCUGGAUUCCCCUUGCAUUCCUGUAGGAUUCUUUUCCAUCCCCCUGGCUGCCCCUUGCUUUCCACAAGGCUGCCCUUUACUGCUGUGGGCAGGGAUGGGUCUGUUCCUGGCUUGUUCAGGGGGUACUAUAAGGUGGCUCUGGGGUCGCUGUAGGUCAGCAGCCUGAAUAAUCCUCUGACGCUCAUCUUGCCCUCAUCUUUGGGGGCAAAAUGGAGGUCGAGGGGUUUGUCGGGGGCUAAGGAAGCGGUUCCAUGAGUGUAUCCCAUAGCUGUACAGAGCAGCCCCAGAGCCAUCCUAUAGCAGCCCCAGAGCAGCCCCAUCACUGCCCGCAGCCCGUGGCCAGCAGCAGUUCCCACCAGCAGCAGUGUGUUGGGUAAAGGCAGCUCCCAGGUGUGGCUCUGCUCCAAAGCUGCCCCAAAGUUCUCCUGAAGCCCUCCCAUAGGCGUCCUUUAACUGCCCCACAACCCAUGAGGCUUCCCCACAUCCCAGCACAUCCACCCAGGUGCCUGUGGGGUGUGCGAGAAACUCUCUCUUGUCUCAUGUUCCACCAGGCACAGCUCUCAGUGCAGCAGCAAAGCUCAUUCCUGAUUGCUGUGGCAUUACUGCACUCUCCUCUGUGAGCUCCUUCUGCUCCUGUAGCUCUCCUCCCAUGGCACCCACUGCUCUCCUGUUCCCCCUUGGCUGGGCACUGCAGGCUCACAAUCUCCACCACGCAUCCGCUGUGCAGUAUUUCCAGAGGAGGUCUAUGGCCAACGUGUUCCUUUCCGGCUGAUUGUGUGCUUUUCUAUGCAGACAGGCAGGCAGGAUUUCUUGCAGCUGUUGCACGUGCUGGGUCUCAUGCUCCAUCCUGCAGCUGUGCCUUAUCUCGUGUGCACUCUCCACCUCCCCCGGUCAGAACGUCCUGGCCCUGCUGUGCUCUGCUCAGCAUCUGUCUGCUGCACAAUGACACAGCUGUCACACUGAGCCUGCCUUGUGCUAUCCCUGCAGAUGUUGGAUGAUUUCCUCUGCCACUCUCCCACCUGUAACCGCUCGGGUGCUUUCCAGCAGCACACAGCUGGCACACAGAGCCAUGCUGACCACGGCAGGGUGCAGCUCCUUCUUGCAGUCCCGUAGC